rnacentral:misc_RNA from 1 species
GAAUUGCGAAAAGUAAUGUGAAUUGCAUAAUUCCGUGAAUCAUCAAAUCUUUGAACGCAUAUUGCGCUGUCUGGAAUUCCGGACAGCAUGCCUGUUUGAGUAUCAGUUUACCCUCUCACCUAUGUGGAGUUGAGCGACGUGUCUUCACCCGCUUUAAAUAUAUGGAAUGCCUUCUUGGAGGUAGCAGAGCCAGUCCGAAAGGAAUGUCUGUUUACCAAAAAGAAAAGCAGGCCUAACCCUUUAAACUUUUGAUCUCAAAUCAAGCAAGACUACCCGCUGAACUUAA